rnacentral:misc_RNA from 1 species
GAUGAAGAACGCAGCGAAAUGUGAUAAUUAAUGUGAAUUGCAGAAUUCCGUGAAUCAUCGAGUCUUUGAACGCACAUUGCGCCUCAUGGCAUUCCGUGAGGCAUGCCCAUCUCAGCGUUAGAAAAUAUUCUCAAAUUUUAGUUUUGUGCUAAAAUUUGGAUCAUGUCAAGGAAGCUAUUACUAUUAUUGUGAUCGCUCUUUGGAAAUUGAUAGGUCUUUGAGUUGCUACUCAUAGAACGUGAUGAAUCUUUCUUCGUUCUAUUGUAAUUCACUCUGGUAGUCCUAAAACUUGUAUGCCUGUGGCAUAUCUUGUAAUUUGACCUGAGAUUGGGCAGGGAUACCCGCUGAACUUAAGCAUAUCAAUAAGCGGAGGA